UACAGAGGGUGCGAGCGGUAAUCGGAUUUACUGGGCGUAAAGAGCGCGCAGGCGGUUAUUCAAGCCGAAUGUGAAAGCCCCCGGCUUAACUGGGGAGGGUCAUUCGAUACUGUUUAACUUGAGGGCAGGAGAGGGUAGUGGAAUUCCCGGUGUAGUGGUGAAAUGCGUAGAUAUCGGGAGGAACACCAGUGGCGAAGGCGACUACCUGGCCUGUUCUUGACGCUGAGGCGCGAAAGCUGGGGGAGCAAACGGG
rnacentral:rRNA from 1 species